UAGGGAAUCUUCGGCAAUGGGGGCAACCCUGACCGAGCAACGCCGCGUGAGUGAAGAAGGUUUUCGGAUCGUAAAGCUCUGUUGUAAGAGAAGAACGUGUGUGAGAGUGGAAAGUUCACACAGUGACGGUAACUUACCAGAAAGGGACGGCUAACUACGUGCCAGCAGCCGCGGUAAUACGUAGGUCCCGAGCGUUGUCCGGAUUUAUUGGGCGUAAAGCGAGCGCAGGCGGUUUCAUAAGUCUGAAGUUAAAGGCAGUGGCUUAACCAUUGUUCGCUUUGGAAACUGUUAAACUUGAGUGCAGAAGGGGAGAGUGGAAUUCCAUGUGUAGCGGUGAAAUGCGUAGAUAUAUGGAGGAACACCGGUGGCGAAAGCGGCUCUCUGGUCUGUAACUGACGCUGAGGCUCGAAACCGUGGGGAGCAAACAGG
rnacentral:rRNA from 1 species